UACGAAGGGGGCUAGCGUUGCUCGGAAUUACUGGGCGUAAAGCGCACGUAGGCGGCUUUCUAAGUCGGGGGUGAAAUCCUGGAGCUCAACUCCAGAACUGCCUUCGAUACUGGAAAGCUCGAGUUCGGGAGAGGUGAGUGGAACUGCGAGUGUAGAGGUGAAAUUCGUAGAUAUUCGCAAGAACACCAGUGGCGAAGGCGGCUCACUGGCCCGAUACUGACGCUGAGGUGCGAAAGCGUGGGGAGCAAACAGG
rnacentral:rRNA from 1 species